GAGGAAUUCAAUCUUGCAGAGAGGAGAAAUGUGAUAAAGACCAAGUGCCUAUAAAUGAGCCUAUAAGAACUUGUUGCAAACUGCAGAGAUUUCAUUUACCCAGCAAAAUAUUUAAGAUAUAUAUAAAGAAUAUGCUGCUUUAUUCACCAUGCACCAUGCCACCGACCCUGCCCACGGUGAGUGGAAGAGUUCAUUGCAAGAGAACAAGGAUGGUCUCGAGACUAAAGCACACAAGGAGAUCUGAGCUCUAGCCCCCAGGUCUGCCGCAGACUUUCUAUGUGACCCUAGGGCAAUGGCAGUGAUCCCUGCCAGGCCACUUUUCUGAGAUGGAUCCUUCGCUGUUGGCCAGCGUAUAAAAGUGUGUGCUGCUGCAGACCCAGGCACGUGGCAUCCACUCUGGCAUGCAAGGACUGUUACUCUCCUUUAACAAGCCACCAACAGAAGCAGCAAGAACAACCACCUGAAGUUCAGGGAUCCUUGAGAAGGGAGUUGUGGUCCAGUGGAUGAUAGUGUGUACAUGGCAGACAGAGACCAGAAAGUAUGUCCACCAAACCCAGCAAUAAGUGAUUGCUCUUCAUCUUCAUUCAUAAGUCAUGAUCUUCAAAGGCUCAGAUGACAGACCUCAACUCAUCAGGCGGUUUCUCUUUAUAAUACCAAGAUCAUAUGCUGUUUUAUAAAUUCUAAGGGCUCUGUCGUUGCUGAUGGGGGUUGUGAGGGAUGGUGUGCUAUCAUGUGAACUCACAUUACAUUUUAAAUGGGAGAAUGGAUGUAUCGACUGCAUGGUAUUGAGCAAGUAGAACAUCCCAAAAAAUGUGCCUGGGCAUCAACAUCUUAAUGGAUCUUGGACAAGAUUCAUGCACUGAGUGUGGAUUUCAGUGCGGCCAUUCAGUCAUGCCCUCGACACAGCCUCCAUCAGAUCUUUGGGGACCAGAAUUGCUUGGUUUCAGAGCACAAUCUAAGAGACUUGGGUGGAAGGGUCAGGGCCAGAGUGCAAGGUGAACAGAUGCUAACAGAACACACAAAAAUGAAAGCUGUAUUCGAUCCCUGCCUAAAACGAUGUGCUGGGCUUUUUAUCCUAUCUUACUCGAGCUUUACAAGGCAAGUUUUUCCAGUGAAAGCUAUGCAGUAAGGGAAGUUUACCACAGCUUGAUUUCACUGAUCAUAUUUAUAAUCUCUUGCUUUUUUAGCAUGUGUUUUAAUUAAAUGUCAAGCACGCACACACGGAUAACGAAACCAGAAAUAUCUGGUUUCCUCUGCCCCCAGUUUUUAUCUCUGACAGUAAAUGACUAACAAAUAGCUGAUUGUCCUAUAAUAUAACGUGUUUAAUUAUUUAGUGUGGGGUUUGUUUGUUUAUUUAUUUAUUUAGUGCUAGUGGAAAGUGCUAGAUUGACAGCGACUGAAUUCCUGUUUCUCCAGAGACGCAGGCAGAGCACAGACAAGGGAGAGUGGCAGUGCUGCCUAGUGAUGGAGCAGGACUGGCCUUGAAUGGGAGUCCAGAGACCUAGGUUCUAAGCCUAGUUCCAUCAGUGACGUGUUGUGUGAUGUUGGGCAAGUCACUUCUCUGCUCUGUUCCUCAGUUUCCCCAUCUGUCAGAAUGAUAAUGACCCAUUUUUGUAAAGUGCUGUGAGCUCUAUGAAUGGACACUGCUAUAAAAGCUAACCAACAGCAAUACUGCAGCUUCUCCCACAUACUGCUCUGAUGAUAGGCCUCAAAUCCCCGUCCACCCAGCCCCCUGCCUCCAUACUACUCUGGCAUAAAAGGAUGGCUUAGGCUCGUCGGCCCAAGAAAUCCUCAGUCUCUCUUCUGAGACAGGCAACCAGGGUGCCAACUGGGUUGAAUAUGAUGCUUUUUUGCGGGGAAGGGAGAUGGGCACCUGUCCCCUAGGAACUGGACUGAGAACGUGGCAUGUGACUGAUUCAUUCUAAUGGCUGCAGUUUAGUUUAAAUUAGUUUUGGGGAUCCAUCUUUUUGUUGUGUGGCUGUACAGUGGUCCAUGACUUAGGCUCUUGCCCACUACUGCCAUACAAAUAAUAAUAUUUCAUUGCACACCUGUUAAAAGUACGGUGGGACUUUAUUUUUUUUUAAAGACACCUUCUUCACAGCAGCGACUGCUAUUAAAUCUUUGCAGAGAAGAGUGGCCCAUCUCUCAGUUUUGACUGUAGAUUAACGAGGUUCUACCGCAAUAAUAAUUUCCAGCGGUAAGGCGUGAGUGACAGAGCUAGUGGGAUCAAUAUCUAUUCAACAGCAUUAUUUUUGAGGGC